rnacentral:rRNA from 1 species
AUUGAACGCUGGCGGCAGGCCUAACACAUGCAAGUCGAGCGGAUGAGUGGAGCUUGCUCCAUGAUUCAGCGGCGGACGGGUGAGUAAUGCCUAGGAAUCUGCCUGGUAGUGGGGGACAACGUUUCGAAAGGAACGCUAAUACCGCACACGUACUACGGGAGAAAGCAGGGGACCUUCGGGCCUUGCGCUAACAGAUGAGCCUAGAUAGGAUUAGCUAGUUGGUGGGGUAAAGGCCUACCAAGGCGACGAUCCGUAACUGGUCUGAGAGGAUGAUCAGUCACACUGGAACUGAGACACGGUCCAGACUCCUACGGGAGGCAGCAGUGGGGAAUAUUGGACAAUGGGCGAAAGCCUGAUCCAGCCAUGCCGCGUGUGUGAAGAAGGUCUUCGGAUUGUAAAGCACUUUAAGUUGGGAGGAAGGGCAGUAAGUUAAUACCUUGCUGUUUUGACGUUACCAACAGAAUAAGCACCGGCUAACUUCGUGCCAGCCGCCGCCGUAACAC